rnacentral:rRNA from 1 species
GAACGCUAGCUACAGGCUUAACACAUGCAAGUCGAGGGGAAACGACAUCGAAAGCUUGCUUUUGAUGGGCGUCGACCGGCGCACGGGUGAGUAACGCGUAUCCAACCUGCCCAUCACUUGGGGAUAACCUUGCGAAAGUAAGACUAAUACCCAAUGACGUCUCUAGAAGACAUCUGAAAGAGAUUAAAGAUUUAUCGGUAAUGGAUGGGGAUGCGUCUGAUUAGCUUGUUGGCGGGGUAACGGCCCACCAAGGCGACGAUCAGUAGGGGUUCUGAGAGGAAGGUCCCCCACAUUGGAACUGAGACACGGUCCAAACUCCUACGGGAGGCAGCAGUGAGGAAUAUUGGUCAAUGGGCGAGAGCCUGAACCAGCCAAGUAGCGUGCAGGAUGACGGCCCUAUGGGUUGUAAACUGCUUUUAUAAGGGAAUAAAGUGAGUCUCGUGAGACUUUUUGCAUGUACCUUAUGAAUAAGGACCGGCUAAUUCCGUGCCAGCAGCCGCGGUAAUACGGAAGGUCCGGGCGUUAUCCGGAUUUAUUGGGUUUAAAGGGAGCGUAGGCCGGAGAUUAAGCGUGUUGUGAAAUGUAGACGCUCAACGUCUGCACUGCAGCGCGAACUGGUUUCCUUGAGUACGCACAAAGUGGGCGGAAUUCGUGGUGUAGCGGUGAAAUGCUUAGAUAUCACGAAGAACUCCGAUUGCGAAGGCAGCUCACUGGAGCGCAACUGACGCUGAAGCUCGAAAGUGCGGGUAUCGAACAGGAUUAGAUACCCUGGUAGUCCGCACGGUAAACGAUGGAUGCCCGCUGUUGGUCUGAAUAGGUCAGCGGCCAAGCGAAAGCAUUAAGCAUCCCACCUGGGGAGUACGCCGGCAACGGUGAAACUCAAAUGAAUUGACGGAAGG